rnacentral:rRNA from 1 species
UACGGAGGGGGCCAGCGUUGUUCGGAAUCAUUGGGCGUAAAGAGCUCGUAGGUGGUUCGGUAAGUCAGGUGUGAAACCUCCAGGCUCAACCUGGAGACGCCACUUGAUACUGCUGUGACUGGGAGUGCCGGUAGGGGGAGGCGUUGGAAUUCCGUGGUGUAGGCGGUGAAAUGCGCAGAUAUCAGGAGGAACACCAGCGGCGAAGGCGGCGCUCUGGGCCGGUACUGACACUGAGGAGCGAAAGCGUGGGUAGCAAACAGG